GUGCUUGCAGGUGCAGCACCAUCAAGAUUCACAUCCACCUCAUCCUCAGUUGAUGCUACACAGCAUGCACACCUGAUGAGAUGAGAAUCUUGAUGAUGCUGCAUCAGCAGGCAC
rnacentral:pre_miRNA from 1 species